rnacentral:sRNA from 1 species
AUGCAUCAGGGAUUGCAGCGGCAUCCUCCUUGAAGGAGAUAUAGCGGAAAGCCCGACCGUUA